rnacentral:rRNA from 1 species
CAGUCGCCGCGGGAAAACGAAGGGGGCUAGCGUUGUCCGGAAUUAUUGGGCGUAAAGGGCUCGCAGGCGGUUUCUUAAGUCUGAUGUGAAAGCCCCCGGCUCAACCGGGGAGGGUCAUUGGAAACUGGGAAACUUGAGUGCAGAAGAGGAGAGUGGAAUUCCACGUGUAGCGGUGAAAUGCGUAGAGAUGUGGAGGAACACCAGUGGCGAAGGCGACUCUCUGGUCUGUAACUGACGCUGAGGAGCGAAAGCGUGGGGAGCGAACAGGAUUAGAGACCCCCGUAGUCCCUGUCUCUUAUAC